AGAGUUUGAUCCUGGCUCAGGACGAACGCUGGCGGCGUGCCUAAUACAUGCAAGUAGAACGCUGAAGAGAGGAGCUUGCUCUUCUUGGAUGAGUUGCGAACGGGUGAGUAACGCGUAGGUAACCUGCCUUGUAGCGGGGGAUAACUAUUGGAAACGAUAGCUAAUACCGCAUAACAAUGGAUGACACAUGUCAUUUAUUUGAAAGGGGCAAUUGCUCCACUACAAGAUGGACCUGCGUUGUAUUAGCUAGUAGGUGAGGUAAUGGCUCACCUAGGCGACGAUACAUAGCCGACCUGAGAGGGUGAUCGGCCACACUGGGACUGAGACACGGCCCAGACUCCUACGGGAGGCAGCAGUAGGGAAUCUUCGGCAAUGGGGGCAACCCUGACCGAGCAACGCCGCGUGAGUGAAGAAGGUUUUCGGAUCGUAAAGCUCUGUUGUAAGUCAAGAACGGGUGUGAGAGUGGAAAGUUCACACUGUGACGGUAGCUUACCAGAAAGGGACGGCUAACUACGUGCCAGCAGCCGCGGUAAUACGUAGGUCCCGAGCGUUGUCCGGAUUUAUUGGGCGUAAAGCGAGCGCAGGCGGUUUGAUAAGUCUGAAGUUAAAGGCUGUGGCUCAACCAUAGUUCGCUUUGGAAACUGUCAAACUUGAGUGCAGAAGGGGAGAGUGGAAUUCCAUGUGUAGCGGUGAAAUGCGUAGAUAUAUGGAGGAACACCGGUGGCGAAAGCGGCUCUCUGGUCUGUAACUGACGCUGAGGCUCGAAAGCGUGGGGAGCGAACAGGAUUAGAUACCCUGGUAGUCCACGCCGUAAACGAUGAGUGCUAGGUGUUGGAUCCUUUCCGGGAUUCAGUGCCGCAGCUAACGCAUUAAGCACUCCGCCUGGGGAGUACGACCGCAAGGUUGAAACUCAAAGGAAUUGACGGGGGCCCGCACAAGCGGUGGAGCAUGUGGUUUAAUUCGAAGCAACGCGAAGAACCUUACCAGGUCUUGACAUCCCGAUGCUAUUUCUAGAGAUAGAAAGUUACUUCGGUACAUCGGUGACAGGUGGUGCAUGGUUGUCGUCAGCUCGUGUCGUGAGAUGUUGGGUUAAGUCCCGCAACGAGCGCAACCCCUAUUGUUAGUUGCCAUCAUUCAGUUGGGCACUCUAGCGAGACUGCCGGUAAUAAACCGGAGGAAGGUGGGGAUGACGUCAAAUCAUCAUGCCCCUUAUGACCUGGGCUACACACGUGCUACAA
rnacentral:rRNA from 1 species